UGUGCCCACACCAACUCAUAGUGACAGUGCGCAAAGAACCGGGAUCAAGAAGAAGGUUGUGUGCAAAAGAGAUUGCCGCGAAAGAAACAAAGUGUUGUAAGGGAGACAAAACGUCCACACAGGAGAGAGAAGGUCUCAGACUCCAGGAUGAAUAAAUGCUUACAAAGAAACAGAUGAAGAAGAAACAGAUGAAGACACUGACGUUGUCAAUUUCCAUUGUUACUUGUAAUGUUAAAAAGGGUAGAAAAAGACAAUCCCGUUUUCUCUGCAUUAGCUAACUAGCUAAACAGGCUACUCACCAUACUAUAGGCUGCAGAUUUGAGUCACCACUAUUAAAAUUGUUAGUUUAUGUUA